ensembl:misc_RNA Y_RNA Y RNA
AGAUGAUCAGAUAGUAGUGAAUUAUCAGAAUUUAUUAACAUUAAUGUCAAUAUACUUGCUAUACAACCUCCUCACUGCCAAAUUUGACUGGCUUAAU